GGUUCAUGGGCAAUGGCCUUCGAUUAGAAUAGUACCGCUCCUUGAGUGGCAGUUCUAGAAAUCUCAGCAUCACGAGAGGCUGUAAUUGCUUCCAGUGUUAUCUGCUUUGUUGUCUUGUCAUUUUAUUUCUUAGCUGUUUUAUAUUCUGGGCACAGAACCAGCUGGGGAAGAUACCAACCCAGUGGUGUCAUUGCUGGUGGCUCGCUGCUGGUACCGUCUGUUUAAACCUUGGCUUUUAAUCCAGGUCCUUCUUAUUGUUCAUGGUGGGUCACUUGGAAGGAUGUGGUUCCAUUUGUGGCUUCUGUUGAGAGCUUCCCUGGUGGCUCAUACACUAAAGCAUCUGCCUACAAUGCGGGAGACCCAGGUUCAAUCCAUGGAUCAGGAAGAUCUCCUGGAGAAGGAAAUGGAAACCCACUCCAGUAUUCUUGCCUGGAAAAUCCUAUAGACGGAGGAACCUGAUCCCAUUUAGUGAAUCCUGCUUGCUCUACCUUCAGGAUAUAUCCAGCUGCUGCCCCUGCCAUCCUGUCCAGGCCAUUGCCACCUCUUGUCUGAAUCAUCACAGAGCCUCUAACACGUCUCCCUUCAUCCUUUUGCCCCUGACACGGUGGAGAAGAGACCAAACAGCUGCCAGAGAUCCUCAGCAUGGCGCCCUGGGGCACCGAGGACGCGUGUGCUGCUGUGAAAGCAGAAGCCAGAAUUCUCAUGAUGACUUCAGGGCCCCCUGUGACUCGGCCCCUACGUCCUUCUCUUCAUGCCCUCGCACACUUCUCACCUCUCAUUCUAUUCCAGCCACAGGGGUCUGGCUUCCGUUCCCUGAACUCUCAUGCCCUGAGGCCUUUGCACUCGCUGUCCCUUCUGCCCACACUGCUCUUCUCUAGGGUAUCUGACAGCUCACUCCCUCACCUCUUUCAGGGCUUUCAAAUGCCACCUUCCUCAUGGAGCCUUCCUGGUCAUUCUAUUCAUAAUUUCUCCCCUAAUGGAAACCCUUCACCCCACUAUGUCCCUGAUUUCAUUUUCUCUUUAGAACUUAUGAUGAUCUGACAUACAUAUUUAUAUUAUAUAUUUUAUAUACUUAUUGUGUUGAUUGUCUUUUUCCUGCACAAGAAUAUGAAGUCUAUGAAGAAAUAGUUUUUUUAAAAGUUCUAUCCAGGGCUUCCCUGGUGGUUCAGUGGUUAAGAAUCUGCCUGCCAAUGCAGAGGACACAGGUUUGAUGCCUGGUCUGGGAGGAUCCCACAUGCCACUAAGCCCAUGUGCCACAACUACUGAAGCUGGCACACACUAGAGC
ensembl:lncRNA